GUUUGUUGUCUGUACUGAAGAGAAGGAGUCAGUGGUGUGAGGAGCUGCGCCUGAGAAACCACUGAGAAGUGUGUGAACUUGAGCUUGUGGAUUCCUGCUCUCACACCAGGUGAUAUCUAUUUUCCAAAGGACAAAGCACUGUUUUCAGCCUUUUGUUGGACUUCAGCAAAGCAUUCAACGUGUUUUCCUUCGUCUUUCUCCUGCACAAAGUGGCAAGUGACUGCACGGGUGGUCUGUGAGAUGGGUAUGAAAUUGGCUGAGAGGUGGCACUCAGAGGGUAGUGAUCAAUGGUUUGUACUCAGGCUGAAAGCCUGCCACAAGUAGAAUUCCCCAGGGAUGAAAACAGGACCCCAUACUAUUCAACAUCUUCGUAACUUAGCUGGAUGAUGGUGCUGAAAGCAGCCUCACCAAGUUUGCUAGUGACACCAGCCUGGGUGGCUGAGAUGGGUGUGUCAGAAAAGAAAACCCUCUCACACAGGGGCCUGUCCAGGCUGCAAGAGUGGGCAAGCAAGAGCAGUAUGAAGUUUAAUGAAGUGUGGCUGGGGAGCAGCCUUGCUGAGAGACCGGGGUGGGCACAAGCUGAGCAGGAGUCAGCAGUGUGCUGCAGCAGCAGCCAGGGCAUCCAGGGCUGCAUCUGCAGGGCUGUGGCUGGCAGAGACAGAGACAUGCUCAUCCCACUCCUCUUAGCACUUGUCUGGCUGCACCUGCAGUGCUGUGUUCAGCUCUCAUCCCCACAAUUCCAGAAAGCAGCAGAGGGGCUGGAGAGGGUCCAAAGGAGGACCACAAAUGUGAUCAAAGGGCUGGAGAGCCUGCACAGCAAGGAAAGACUGGAGCAGUCAGGUCUCUUUUCCUUGGAGAAAAGAAGGCCUGGGGGGCAUCAUCACAGUAUUCCAGUAACUACUGCACCAGGAGAGGUUUCAUCUCUGUAUAAGAAGGAAAUUUUUUACGAUGAUACCCAUCAUUCACUGGAGUAACUUCCCCUGUGCUGGAACCCCCACCACUGGAGAUUUUCAAGAUGCCAUUGGACACUGUGCUAGAUAAUCCCCCUCAAGGCUCCCUUUCAUCGUGAUGUUGGGCCAGGCAAUAUUUUGAGGUCACUUCCAAUGUGGGAUGUUUUGUGAUUCUAUUAUUGUUUAAAAGCCUACUUUCUUUUAAAUAAAAGCAAACUUUUUAGUCUUAGAUUUUGGAGUGUCUUGAAAUGUUAAAAAUA